rnacentral:rRNA from 1 species
AGAGUUUGAUCCUGGCUCAGAUUGAACGCUGGCGGCAGGCCUAACACAUGCAAGUCGAGCGGUAGAGAGAAGCUUGCUUCUCUUGAGAGCGGCGGACGGGUGAGUAAUGCCUAGGAAUCUGCCUGGUAGUGGGGGAUAACGUUCGGAAACGGACGCUAAUACCGCAUACGUCCUACGGGAGAAAGCAGGGGACCUUCGGGCCUUGCGCUAUCAGAUGAGCCUAGGUCGGAUUAGCUAGUUGGUGAGGUAAUGGCUCACCAAGGCGACGAUCCGUAACUGGUCUGAGAGGAUGAUCAGUCACACUGGAACUGAGACACGGUCCAGACUCCUACGGGAGGCAGCAGUGGGGAAUAUUGGACAAUGGGCGAAAGCCUGAUCCAGCCAUGCCGCGUGUGUGAAGAAGGUCUUCGGAUUGUAAAGCACUUUAAGUUGGGAGGAAGGAUUGUAGAUUAAUACUCUGCAAUUUUGACGUUACCGACAGAAUAAGCACCGGCUAACUCUGUGCCAGCAGCCGCGGUAAUACAGAGGGUGCAAGCGUUAAUCGGAAUUACUGGGCGUAAAG